AAGGAUCAUUACCGUGGGGCUUCGGCCCCAUUGAGAUAGCACCCUUUGUUUAUGAGUACCCUUGUUUCCUCGGUGGGCUUGCCCGCCAUGAGGACAAUAUAAAACCCUUUGUAGUACCUAGUAAUCUCAGUUAAUAAUAAAUAUUAAAACUUUCAACAACGGAUCUCUUGGUUCUGGCAUCGAUGAAGAACGCAGCGAAAUGCGAUAAGUAGUGUGAAUUGCAGAAUUCAGUGAAUCAUCGAAUCUUUGAACGCACAUUGCGCCCUUCGGUAUUCCGUUGGGCAUGCCUGUUCGAGCGUCAUUUAAACCUUCAAGCUCUGCUUGGUGUUGGGUGUUUGUUCCGCCUCUGCGCGUGGACUCGCCUUAAAUUCAUUGGCAGCCGGUAUGUUGGCUUCGUGCGCAGCACAUUGCAAGCGAUUUCAACAGACCCCCUUCCAUAAGCUCUUUCUUUACUUUGACCUCGGAUCAGGUAGGGAUACCCGCUGAACUUAAGCAUAUCAAUAAGCGGAGGAAAAGAAACCAACAGGGAUUGCCCCAGUAACGGCGAGUGAAGCGGCAAUAGCUCAAAUUUGAAAUCUGGCUCUUUUAGGGUCCGAGUUGUAAUUUGCAGAGGGCGCUUUGGUGUCGGCAGCAGCCUAAGUUCCUUGGAACAGGUCAUCAUAGAGGGUGAGAAUCCCGUAUGUGGCUGCUUGUCUUCACCGUGUAAAGCCCCUUCGAUGAGUCGAGUUGUUUGGGAAUGCAGCUCUAAAUGGGAGGUAAAUUUCUUCUAAAGCUAAAUAUUGGCCAGAGACCGAUAGCGCACAAGUAGAGUGAUCGAAAGAUGAAAAGCACUUUGGAAAGAGAGUCAAAAAGCACGUGAAAUUGUUGAAAGGGAAGCGCUUGCAGCCAGACGUGCCCGUAGUUGCUCAUCUGGGGUUCUCCCCAGUGCACUCUUCUAUGGGCAGGCCAGCAUCAGUUCGGGCGGUUGGAGAAAGACCUGUGUCAUGUAGCUCUCUUCGGGGAGUGUUAUAGGGCAGGUGGAAUGCAACCAGCCUGAACUGAGGUCCGCGCAUCUGCUAGGAUGCUGGCGUAAUGGCUGUAAGCGGCC
rnacentral:rRNA from 1 species